GGGUGCAAACGUUGUUCGGAAUUACUGGGCGUAAAGCGCGUGUAGGCUGCUCGGAAAGUCGGGUGUGAAAGCGCUGGGCUUAACCCAGGAAGUGCACUCGAAACUCCCGAGCUGGAGUCCCGGAGAGGAAGGCGGAAUUCUCGGUGUAGAGGUGAAAUUCGUAGAUAUCGAGAGGAACAUCGGUGGCGAAGGCGGCCUUCUGGACGGUGACUGACGCUGAGACGCGAAAGCGUGGGGAGCAAACGGG
rnacentral:rRNA from 1 species